CAUUGGAGGCAGCAGUUCAUCGAUCUCUUCCUGGGAAUUUUGUUGUGAGAAAUCAGAAUAAAUACAUGAAUCGAUCGAUAAACCUCUGCAUCCAGA
rnacentral:pre_miRNA from 1 species